rnacentral:rRNA from 1 species
UAGACUGUUGCGGUUUUGACGCCGUGACGGUCGGAGAGAAAUUGUUAAGUGCAUCCUGGCCUCCAGAGUGAACGCUGGCGGCAAGGCUAAACACAUGCAAAGUCGAACGGCAGCGGGGGCUUCAGCACAAGCCGGCGGAGCAUGUUGCGUAACGGGUCAGUAAUGCAACGCGAACGAACCCAUGUACCUGGGAUUGACAAGCUACGCGAAUAGCGUUUGGCUAAUACAAGCAGUAACGCCCUGAGGGUGGAAAGCGGGCGAUCAUUCGGGACCUCGCUGCGAUUGGAGCGGCCGUCAUGCUCGGAUUAGCUAGUUGAAGUGUCGGGUAAAGGGCUCACCUUAACGAGCGACAACCCCUGUAGCUAGUCUGCCAGAGCGAUAAUGGCAGCCACACUAGCGAGACUGAGACACGGCCCAGACUCAAACCGGAGGAAGCAGUGGGGAAUUUUGGACAAUGGGCGCAAGUCCUGACCCAUGGCCUUUAUGCCGCAGUGAGUGACAGAACGUGCUACAAUCGGCGCUGUACAAAGCGAUGUCGAGGUCGCGAGACGAAGCAAAUCGUGGUCACUAACAUAGCGCGCCCCAGUUCGGAUUGUAGUCGGCAACUCGGACUACAUGAAGCACCGGCUAAUCGCUACGUAAUCGCGGAUCAGCCAUGCCGCGGUGAAUACGUAGGGUCCUGAGCCUUGUACACACCGCCCGUCAAGUCACUGGGCGUAAAGCCGUGCGCAGUGCCCGAAGUCUGCCAAGAUUCAGGUGGUGAAAUCCCACGGGCUUAACCUCGGUGAACUGCGACUAAGUGACUGGAAGGCAAGAGUAACGGCAGAGAGGGGUGGAAUUCCUGGCGUAGCAGUGAAAUGCGUAGAUAUCAGGAGGAACACCAAUGGCGAAGGCAGUCCCCCUGGGCCUGCACAUGACGGCUCGGGAUGCAUGCGAAAGCGUCGGGAGCAAACAGGAUUAGAUACCCUAGUAGUCCACGCCCUAAUACAAUGUCGACUAGCCGUUCGGUUAGCAACGUCAAUGCACUGAGUGAAAACCCAGCUAACGCGUGAAGUCGACCGCCUGGGGAGUACGGCCGCAAGGUUAAAACUCAAAGGAAUUGACGGGGACCCGCACAAGCGGUGGAUGAUGUGGAUUAAUUCGAUGCAACGCGAAAAACCUUACCUACCCUUGACAUGCCUGGAAGUCUGGUGAGAGCCGGAUGUGCCUUCGGGAGCCAGGACACAGGUGCUGCAUGGCUGUCGUCAGCUCGUGUCGUGAGAUGUUGGGUUAAGUCCCGCAACGAGCGCAACCCUUGUCACUAGUUGCCAUCAUUGAGUUGGGCACUCUAGUGAGACUGCCGGUGACAAACCGGAGGAAGGUGGGGAUGACGUCAAGUCCUCAUGGCCCUUAUGGGUAGGGCUUCACACGUCAUACAAUGGUCGGUACAGAGGGUUGCCAAGCCGCGAGGUGGAGCCAAUCCCACAAAGCCGAUCGUAGUCCGGAUCGUAGUCUGCAACUCGACUACGUGAAGUCGGAAUCGCUAGUAAUCGCAGAUCAGCAUGCUGCGGUGAAUACGUUCCCGGGUCUUGUACACACCGCCCGUCACACCAUGGGAGUGG